AUUGAACGCUGGCGGCAGGCCUAACACAUGCAAGUCGGACGGUAGCACAGGGGAGCUUGCUCCUCGGGUGACGAGUGGCGGACGGGUGAGUAAUGUCUGGGGAUCUGCCCGAUAGAGGGGGAUAACCACUGGAAACGGUGGCUAAUACCGCAUAACGUCGCAAGACCAAAGAGGGGGACCUUCGGGCCUCUCACUAUCGGAUGAACCCAGAUGGGAUUAGCUAGUAGGCGGGGUAACGGCCCACCUAGGCGACGAUCCCUAGCUGGUCUGAGAGGAUGACCAGCCACACUGGAACUGAGACACGGUCCAGACUCCUACGGGAGGCAGCAGUGGGGAAUAUUGCACAAUGGGCGCAAGCCUGAUGCAGCUAUGCCGCGUGUAUGAAGAAGGCCUUCGGGUUGUAAAGUACUUUCAGCGGGGAGGAAGGCGAUGUGGUUAAUAACUGCGUCGAUUGACGUUACCCGCAGAAGAAGCACCGGCUAACUCCGUGCCAGCCGCCGCCGUAA
rnacentral:rRNA from 1 species